rnacentral:rRNA from 1 species
CCUACGGGGGGCUGCAGUGGGGAAUAUUGCACAAUGGGCGCAAGCCUCAUGCAGCCAUGCCGCGUGUGUGAAGAAGGCCUUCGGGUUGUAAAGCACUUUCAGCGGGGAGGAAGGCGGUGAGGUUAAUAACCUCAUCGAUUGACGUUACCCGCAGAAGAAGCACCGGCUAACUCCGUGCCAGCAGCCGCGGUAAUACGGAGGGUGCAAGCGUUAAUCGGAAUUACUGGGCGUAAAGCGCACGCAGGCGGUCUGUCAAGUCGGAUGUGAAAUCCCCGGGCUCAACCUGGGAACUGCAUUCGAAACUGGCAGGCUAGAGUCUUGUAGAGGGGGGUAGAAUUCCAGGUGUAGCGGUGAAAUGCGUAGAGAUCGGGAGGAAUACCGGUGGCGAAGGCGGCCCCCUGGACAAAGACUGACGCUCAGGUGCGAAAGCGUGGGGAGCAAACAGGAUUAGAUACCCGAGUAGUC